GAGAAUCCCGGGAGCAGCUGCCGCUGCCAGCCUGCACGAGCGCUGCCCCGCCCCUGCCCGGGGAAUUCCACCUUCCCUGCAGUGCAACGCGGGCGGGGCUGGGCGCGGCGCGGCGCGGCGAGCCGGGCUGCAAGAGCUGCUCAGGUGGAUGACUGAAGCAGCAGAGAACGUUGGUGUCUGAAGAAUGGCUACAGUGUUGCUUUAGUAGAGGGAGAGCCUUGCAGGCAGAGAACCUUUGUGUCUGAAGAAUGGCUACAGUGUUGCUUUAGUUGAGGGAGAGCCUUGCGGUUGUUGGUGUGACCCAGGGGCAGUUGAACCAUGGAUGGAGCUGAGUUUAAGCUGUUAUGCAGGCGCCCCCGGGCUUCUCCAUCAGCCAGUCUCCCGCCACAAGCUGGAGAGGAGCCACAGCUGCUGCUGAGUGCAAGGCAGGAGUGAAGCGCCAAGCCCAGCCACCUUCCACAGCCUGGCUGGAGGAGGAGGGAGGAGAGAAAUGUGACAAAAUUUUUUGAGGAUGUUAUUCCCAUGUGUAGAGGUCAGCAUAUGAGAGGAUGAAGAUGUACCUUGUAGUCAUCAUUACUUGAUUCCAUUUGUAUGAAGAAUAAGAAUUACAAAAAAUCAUCAUCAUUGGAUUGGAAGGCUUUCUUUGUGGGAUGGUGCAGAAAGACAGACUUUUGGAUAACAGGAAAUAAUUAGCAACAUGUACGAAUGGUGGUAUUAAGGAAGCAGCUUCUGUUUCUGCAGGAGGUGCACAAACUCUGGAUGGAGAAUCAGCUAUGGAUUUCUGAACUAUACCACUACUUAAUUGCAGAUUCAAGGGAAAUAAUCUUAACAUGACAUAUUAAAGAAAAGGAAAUUUGACUCCUCCCCAAUAUAGUACUCAUCCUCUGAUCAUUUCUUUCCUCCUAAUGAUCUAAAUAAAAUAUUUUCCUGCAUUUUAAAA